ensembl:lncRNA putative ferric-chelate reductase 1
GAACAGGACUGAAAAUAAACAUCUUCCAGUUGGCAAGAAAGUCCUUGGUAUUCCUCUUUCAUCACACAACUCAGAGAACCUGUAGCACAGCGUGGCAAAGCCAGACCAGUUACAGUGGUGCCGUGAGCCUGAUACACAUCGCUUCAGAUCUCUUCAUCGUCUUUGUGGUUCCUGGAGCUGUGAAUCAACAUCAGCUUGGUUGCCAGAGAUAUGGACAACCGACUGAUCAUCACAAUCUUUUUUGUGACGUUGUCGUCAGCCGUCAUUGCCGCCAAGGGUCAAAAAACACUUGGAACAACAGCAACUCCAACCAUUGGAUAUGAGACGACUACGGAAAAGAACAUUAUUGUAUCACCAACGGCAGCAGAGAAUGAAGAAGUAACUCCAACUGAUACAGGAAAUGCGAUGACCCCAGUGGAUCGCACUGGCUGUUCAACAGACCGGAUCUGUCUGGCUGAGCCUUCCGACUGUAACCCUAAUGCAUCAUCACAAUGUAUCUUUGCAUCGGCCAGGCAGACUGUGGGUCAAAACUUUGAAUUAAUUCUCUCGGGAGAGACAGUUGGCUACAUUGCUGCCACCCUGUCAACAGACACUCUACUGGGAGGUAACGACACAACCUAUGUGUGUGCAAGGGGCAAAGGAGAUGUCAUUCACUUCUUUACUGCUUUGCUUGACAAUAACCAGCUCAUCUUGACCAAUUCGACUGCUACAACUGUGAGAGGCCGCACAAAUGGAACCAGGUUGGAGUGCGCUUUUAACGCCUCAAUACCCGACUACUCAUCAUCCUUAAAACAGAUUCGGGCAAGCAGCUUGUCAGGCAUGAUCAGCACUGGACAUUUCGACCCCGUCAGCGGUGCACUGGGAACCCCCACCGCAAGGAUGAUGUCUAAUGUUGUAAACCUAAUGGACCCUACCAGCAACACCACCAAUUUCAAUUCCAACAUCACCACCACUUUGUCUAGUUUCUCCACCGUCCUCCAUCAUUCCCUGAUUCAAGCUCUGCUGGUGCCCCUGGUCAUCAUAAGUCUGGCCCUGGUAUGAGGGAACCCCCCAAAUAACUGCGAUACUGAUUAGGAACUACAAAAGGGGUCACCGGAUGUUUAGCAUACUAAGUUUGGUUUAAUGUUGCAAUGAUUCAGGUCGGGUGAUUGGUAGUAUGAAUAUCUGAAUUUUACUUUUAAAAAAAACAAAACUAAAAAAACUUCUUAGAGUUGAAGGAAUGAUUUCUCUUAUGAAGAUGACAUUUAUCCGCUAAAUGUCCGAAAUUAAAUUCAUUAUUUACUCACACUCAGACUAUUUAAACUACUAUGAAUGUUAUUCACUUGUUGAAAGUAUUGGGUUAAUCGUUGACUUACUGCGGUUUGAUAAUGUUCCUGAUAACAAUACAAUUUAAAUGUAUUUUUUUUUCUUUUAUCGACCCUCAAUGAUGGAAAGUUGGCAGAUGAAGGAACUGCGUUGAGCUGCAGCUAUGCUAUGCUAAUAUAUAUAUAUUUAUAUAUUUAUAUGCGCUAAACGAGUGCUUCUCAAACUUUUCAUGUUGCACCCCCUACCCCCAGCGCAACAAAAUUGGUACAAAAUGUAACCUGUAACUCUUGAAAGUAGCAUAAAAUUUAUAACCGCAUACAUUAUAACAGUAAUAACGAAGUACUUUGAGUGCGAAGAAAAGAAUAGUUUUAAUAUUUUCUGGCUCAAUGUUUAGCAAGGCUGUUCUUUCACCCUCCCCCCACAGUUUGGGAAGCAUUGCGCUAAGCUAACAUAUAACAUCAAAAAGUAAAAUUAAGUUGUAUUUUGAGCUAAAACAAAACAGUUAAUGGUGAACACGUACUUAACUAUGUAUGUUUCCUUUCUUUGGUGUUUGUUCUUUUAUUCUUUUAUUUGAAGUAUUUCUUUAGCGGCUGUAACACAAGAAAUUUCUCUCUGGG